UACGUAGGUGGCGAGCGUUGUCCGGAUUUACUGGGCGUAAAGGGAGCGUAGGCGGACUUUUAAGUGAGAUGUGAAAUACUCGGGCUCAACUUGAGUGCUGCAUUUCAAACUGGAAGUCUAGAGUGCAGGAGAGGAGAAUGGAAUUCCUGGUGUAGCGGUGAAAUGCAUAGAUAUCACGCAGAACCCCGAUUGCGAAGGCAGCAUGCCGGCUUCCUACUGACGCUGAAGCACGAAAGCGUGGGGAUCGAACAGG
rnacentral:rRNA from 1 species